rnacentral:rRNA from 1 species
UACAGAGGGGGCAAGCGUUGUUCGGAAUUACUGGGCGUAAAGGGCGCGUAGGCGGCCUGUUAAGUCGAACGUGAAAUCCCCGGGCUCAACCCGGGAACUGCGUCCGAUACUGGCAGGCUUGAAUUCGGGAGAGGGAUGUGGAAUUCCAGGUGUAGCGGUGGAAUGCGUAGAUAUCUGGAGGAACACCGGUGGCGAAGGCGGCAUCCUGGACCGAUAUUGACGCUGAUGCGCGAAAGCCAGGGGAGCAAACGGG